UGGGGAUUCCCCUCUAGAUUCGCAGGCCCUGGUACCGGAUUAGGUGGUUUUCCUCUGGUUAUAAUUUCUUUUACACCUAAAACACGUUAGGUUAUAUUCCAUAAAUUUUCAAGCUGUAAGGGCGAAACAAGAGGCAAAGAAACCGCGUGUGCGGUGAAAGGGACAGGUGCAUGCAGGUGUUGUAAAAACAACAGUGGCUGUGACACAAUUAAGGUCAAGGAGCAUCUCGGAGCUGUCACGGCCCGCCUGCCACACGGGAGGAACUUCCCUCCAGUCCUCACCGUUACCCACAAGGCACCUGGACAGGAGCGAGGAUGAUGAGGAGCAGCGGUUGAUGUGAGGCAAAGACAGUCAGGAGAGUGGAGGUUGAAGCUACCUCAAGGAUGGAGACAGACGAAAAAAGGGGACUUUCUGCUAGAGCAGUCCAACGAUGGGACCACCCAGGAUUUGCAUACUUGAGGUUUUUACUUUGCUUUUCUUCCUUGCCUCCACUCAACGGUGUUGCCGAGU